UACAGAGGUCUCAAGCGUUGUUCGGAUUCAUUGGGCGUAAAGGGUGCGUAGGUGGCGAGGUAAGUCGGAUGUGAAAUCUCAGGGCUCAACCCUGAAACUGCAUUCGAUACUGCCUUGCUCGAGGACUGGAGAGGAGAUUGGAAUUCACGGUGUAGCAGUGAAAUGCGUAGAUAUCGUGAGGAAGACCAGUGGGCGAAGGCGGAUCUCUGGACAGUUCCUGACACUGAGGCACGAAGGCCAGGGGAGCAAACGGGG
rnacentral:rRNA from 1 species